rnacentral:tmRNA from 1 species
UUGCAAGUCGUAGGCAUACGUAAAAUGCACAGUUAAAUAUAACUGGAAACAAUGAAAAGGCCUCUUAUGGCCAACUAGCUUUCGCUUAAAGAUAGCGAAGCGCUUUCUUAAUUCUUUCUCCCAUGAAGAUUUAUGAAGGCUCAAAUGAAAAUGGGAUAUAUUAUUUUCUUGCCUAAGGAAAAUAAAGAAUUUUAUAGGCUCACUAAUAAAUUAGUUGUUAGUUACUUUGUUUAUUAGGACACCACUUAACUAACUAAACUUGUAGAUGUUUUAAAGGAAGUAUAUUUGGACAGGAGUUCAACUCUCCUCGGCUCCACCA